CUUGUAUACUGCCCUGACAAAUGAGGCCUAUGAGGAGUUCUGACACGCUGUGUCGAAACUUGAUAUGUUGCGCCGUCUGGCCCCAGAAACUGCCAAUGGAACCAAGUGCUCACUCUGUCCCAAGUUUGUCAAAUGCAGUGUACCUGCUGCGAGAGAUGGAGGGGAUGAGAGGCAAGAACAUCAAUCUCUUCUUCAUGUAUGACAUUGCAUGCAAGAUGCAGCCACAUGUGCAAAAACUUUCCUGAAUUGAAGCAUGAGACCAAGUUCGUUAUGCCAGUUUUCCAUGCUUAUGGACAUGACUUGCCAUGUCAG
ensembl:lncRNA